GCGCCCGUAGCUCAGCUGGAUAGAGCAGCGGCCUUCUAAGCCGCGGGUCGCAGGUUCGAAUCCUGCCGGGCGUGCCC
rnacentral:tRNA from 1 species